rnacentral:lncRNA from 1 species
AAACAAGGAGAGCAUAAUGUUAAAAUAAUAUUUACGUCAUAGGAGGAAAGCAUAAUGUUGUUAAGAAGUCUAUACCGAGUAACAUUAUUCUCUUUCUACAAAUUUAAAAUGAAAUCAUUAUAACAAAAUUAUGUUUGAAAUUUAACACACUAUAUCAUUUGUGUAAUAGUUUCGUAUGAGCACAAAAGAAAUUGACAGGACAACUUUAUUAUAUAUUUAUGUAAUAUCAUGUUCGUUAAUACAAAUGUUUGAUGUUACAAGUGUUUCAAGUUUCAAGCCCAAGUCCGAUCCAAAGCCCAACUUCUAGAAGGAAAUGGAUUGUUUACAUUAGAUACAUAAAAACCUUCUGGUCUUACUAACCAAUAACAAUAUUGUGUACCAAAUCCUUGUUUAACACAUACAUUAGAAGGAUGACGGCUAUCGAACACAUGAAAAUCCUGAUAUUUUGAACCCCACCAGAACUGACUCCAAUAGUAUGUAGUUGUUGUUUCAUGAAUUUGCCAUUGGUAAAUUCCAUUAUAAGAAAGGGUGUGAUUUCCGUGAUCAUCUUCUUUUGAUCUCACAUGAAAGGUGAUAUCUUCAUUGAUGCCAUUGAUUAUGAACAUGUUCCAUUCACCGAGUACAUCAAGAGGUUUGUUUAUAGAAGACGCGAUGGUAUAAGUAACUGAAAAUAUUGAGAUGCAGAAGAAAUAGACGAAAACAGAAAGGCGAUACAUUAUACUACUUAUAUAAUUUAUUUUGAAGCAGUUAUAAAAUUUAUCUUUACAGUAGUCACUUUGAUCAAUUUAUAAGGAGUGGGUGGGAGCUCCAUAGCAUAUUUUGCAUCAAUUAUGUAAUAAGUGUAAUUAAUUUAUAGUUAUUGUAAAAUUUAGUUUGCCGUUUCAAAAGAAUAUUUAUAUAUAACUGAUACCGCUAGUUUAAUUGGCAUUUGGUGAAGAUACCAAGGAUCAUAGCCACAUCUUACAUAGCGUUUUUUGCAUUAAUUAUGUAAUAUUUUCCGAUAACUGAUACCUCUAAUUCAAUUUCCAUUUGGUGACGGUAAUGCUGAAUCAUAGCCACAUCCCACAUUGAUUCGAUUUAAAGCACUCAAACAUUUUAUGUUGUUUAAGUAUUUGCACUUUAACUAUUUUUCGUUGUGAAUACGAACCGUAUUAACUCCAGUGUUCGCAUCUAGCUCCAUGGUUCGGUGGAUACUGCCCUACCCUGCUCAUCAUUGCGAGCAACUCGGUGACCCAAUAUUGGAAAGAUUCUGUCUGCAGAGCCUCCCUCGGUCAGGUUAUAAAAGUUGCGGUCUCCAUUGUAUGGAGGGGGUUGGCCCUGUUCAUGGCUCCACCUACCCAAAGUCUCUGCCCACAAAGGCGUUAGGCCUUGACAUUCAGGCCGAGGGUUAGGAUUUGGCAUUAGAGCCACUAGAGGUUGAUCAUUGACUUCAGGAUCUGAGUCAGAAUCUUCGUAUAUUUCUUCCUCAAAUUCUUCUUCUGGUUCAGCCUCUAGCCAACCUUCAUUCCCUUGGUUAGGGAACUAUGAAUCUCCAGGAGGAUGAAAUCCCGCCAUGAUAUCUACACGAGAAUAGGGGUAAAAGAGGCAAUUAAUAGACAUAUAAACUAUUAAUACUUAUUGGGGAGUGAUCCUUAUCAAAUACUUAUAUAAUUACGUAGUGCAUACCAGUUGUAUAUAACUUUAGAUAGGAUAGACCUUCGAAUAAGUGAUCCAACUCUAUGUCCACAACCAAACAGGGAACAGGAAGUAAAGUGAAAACAACAGAUUCUAAGCCUAUAUAAUCUUUAUUAUAUAUAACCUUAGCGUAUCCACUCAGUAAUUAUAGACCUACCAACAAAGGUCUUUAGUUUUCACAUAAGUUAACUAUAGUAUCAUAAAAUACUCCUAUAGUAUUUUUAAGUUGUUUCGUGUUCUUGAUGUUUCUUUGUUGAUAAAGUUGGUAAGUUUUUAGACUUGCUGCAACACUACAAACAUUCAUGCGCAUAUGCUAAUCACUUCUCGGACUGACAUAGUUGUUCAGGCUAUGUAAUUCCCAGACCUGACCAUAUAUCCCCAAGCGUAUUUGUGUUGUUCAAAAAUUACAACACUUUUGUUCUAUUCUUGUAUGAUACUAGUCUUAGUGUGAAUGCAUGUGUGUAUACUUUUAGUAAAAUACUUGUUAUGUUUUAAAAGUAUAACUCUUGGUCAAAGUGUUUUUAAUCCCAUUAUGUUUAUAGUUGUAUAUCUUUUAUGGCUUGAUACACUUCAUUCACUAUAAACCAUGCUCUGAUACCAAAUGUGUCACACCCCCAAACUGUCACUCCCCGAAAACCAAAGGCGGAAAUAUUUCCGGGGUUGACUCCACGUUGAGUAUCAAAUCCAAUGCACAUAGUAAGUAACGUAAACAACCAUUACAUUACAUAAAAGAAGUUUACAUUUGUUUCAAAAUUAAAGUUGUAUAAGUGUGAUACAUAGUAUAUAUGAGCAAAAGUAAGACGAGUCUUCAACGCAUUCCAUCUUUGCCAAAAGGAUUUAUCGGGUACCUGUCUAAUGCGGACCUAAGAAUACAAGCAGUUUGAAAAUCAGCAUAACGCUGGUGAGUUCAUAAGCGGUUUUGUUUUCUAAAAAAUGUACGAGUUGCUUUUCUGUUUCUGAAAAGGAUACACACCAAGAAAAUCCCAUAUUUUCUUAAAAGUUGGUUAUUGAAUCCCAAAAUGUAAUGUAAAAGAUGUACACUAAAAACAUGUUUACCCUUGUGAAUUGUAAAGUUUAGUUAUCUGGUUUGUUACACGAUUCUGGUUAAGUACAAGUGUUACCCCAAAAAAAUCCCAUAUUUUCCUGAAUGUUGGUUACCAAUUUGAAAGAUGUAUACUGAAAACCUGGUUUUCCUUGUGAAAUGUAUUAAUUUUAACACAUAUAUAAAACUAAUAUAUACAAAGUAAAUUAAUUACUUUAUUCAUUAUUACUAUUUAGUAAAUCUCUGUUAUCCUAAUAGCGAGUUCCAUAACCAUACAUUAGACUAGAUAUGGCAAUAAGUAGUCCACAUCAGCUUAUGACUUUCGUCACCCUUGAACCUUUCGGUUCGGCUGUAGCUAGCAGCCAGGUGCGGGGUAGUCAGCCCCGUAUAGAUCUAUACACUCAAGUGAUACUCCCUAUCUAAGAGAUUCUAGUUACGGUUGCGGUCCUCCACUCGCGUAUCUCUGUGGAGUAUUCACCGAGGACGUGUCUCCAAUUAUAUAGGAUUAACAAAUUUACUAGUAAUAAUACAAUAAUCCUCCACUCGCGUAUCUCUGUGGAGUGUUACCGACGACAAAAACAGUGUACUAAGUUUUAUGUUGAAAGUUCAAAUGUCAUGCUUGUAACUGAUUUACUGUGGGAAAGCCAUUUGUGAAAUAUAAAACACAACAUUUUAUAACAUGUUUCACAAAUAAUAUGUUUACAUGUUCUGCAUGUUCAAACGGUUAUCUAUUGUGACUAUCAGUGUUAAAAGCAUAUGUAAUAUGAAACACAACACAUGUAAAAUAAGUUUUGAGUACAAGUAUCCCUUGUACUUUGCUUGUAUUGCCCCUGAAAACAGUAAAAACAGUGAAAAAGGGUAGGGAUAUGAACUCACCAGUCGGGAAAACGUGUCGGUUUGGAUGCUAGUUGUCAGUUCGGGGCUUGAUUACGCGCGAGGUUCCUAUGUAAUAUGAAAUGAUAUAAAAAUGUAUCUAAUUAUACUUUGAACCACUAAUUAGACAUGAAUAUGCACUCCAAGACGUGAAAACACUUCACUGUAAAUGUUAGGAGUGAUCCGGGUAACAUCUAAGGGUGUGUAGGGCGUAAAUAUGGAGUUUACUCUUCAAGAGUAAAUUCCUUGAGGAGUUUAUGGAUCAUUGACUAUAUCCCCAUGAGUUUAUGGCCGUAAACUCAUGGAUGGUGGGUUCUUGGAUGCCAAAUGGUCAAACAAUGCACAAGGGAAGGUUCUAGGGUCGAUUCCAUGGCUUAGGAAGUGAUCGGGACUUGAAAUGGCCUUGGGAAAUGAGUUUACAGUCUAAGGAGAUGUUUUUGGGGAGUUUACUACCUUAAACUCAUGAGUUUACAAUCUUAAACUCAUGUUUGUCCAUGAAUCAAAGGCUUUGGUGGUUGUAAUUCAAUCACAUGUGAUUUCUAGGUCCAAAACCAAGCUAUUCAAGGGGUUAAAGGCACCUUAACACCCUUUGAGGGGUGUUUACGGACCAAGGAGGUGGGUUUACAGUCCAAGAAUGUUCUUGGGCCCUAAACUCAAGUUUGAUGCAUUUGAGGAUGUUUUGGUGCAUCGCAUGAAGGAUUAUGAGGUCCUACACUCCCGUGGAAGCUUUUGAAGGUGUUUAAGGGCACUUUAACACCCAUUGAACGAGUUUAUGGUCUAAGGAGGUAAGUUUAUGGUCUAAGAAUGUUCUUGGACCAUAAACUCAAGUUUUUCCCAUUUGUGUAUGAUUUGAUGCAUUUCUUGAAGGGUUACAAGGUUCCAUGCACUCAUGGAAGUCCAUUGGAGGUGUUUAGGGGCAAACUAACAACCGACAAGGUGUUUAAGGUCUAUGAAUGAGGGUUUACGGUCCAAGCAUGUUCUUGGACCGUAAACUCAUGUCCAUGUCUCAUUUGGUGCGAUUUUGGGGUCCUAAGCUUAUGCAUGCAAGUUUCUAGGCCGAAUCUAAGCCCUAGAAGUGUUUUGGAGGGGUUUUGAGGCUUCAAAACCCUCAUAUGAGGUGUUCACGGUUUUGGGAGGGUCCCCAAACCGUAAACACAUGUUCAUAUGUGUUUUGGGUGAUUCCAACAAGAAUUUGCAAACCAUUCAAGUUAAACAACAAGUUUGGGAUGCAUUUGUUACUAAAUGAUGCUUGAAAUGGGGUUUUUGGGCCAAAUUUCGAGUUCUAGAGAGAGUGUAGAGAGGGAAAGUUUUUAGAGAGAGAGAGAGAGAGUAAAAGCCUCAAAAUGAUGUCACUAAUCCCUUAUAUAGGGGUUGAGUUUGUGGCCCGGUGGAAUUCUAACCGAUACUGCCGUUAGACGGUGCUUUUGGGUCGAACCCGAUAAAUUUGCCGUAAUCACGAUUUAGAUGAAAAUAAUAAUUUUCCAAACAAAUAUGGAAAAUAUUUUAAUGAUUAUAACACAUCCCGACACUCAUGAAAUCAAUAAUAAAAGUCGCGAUAAAAUUUAUUUAACGCAAAGGUUAACGGAACGAAUUGAAUACGACGGUUUUAUUCAACGGGAACGGUUUUAGUUACGGAAUAAAUUGUAGGUUGUCACACAAACUGAAUUAGCGGAAAUAUUCGGGGGUGGAGGACGUCGUGUACAGUAUCAUAACAAUGCAUAAUAGUAAAUCAAACAACAACAUCCAUUCCAUUAAAUAGUAUAGUUAAUACAAGUGUGUUCUUUAUAAAGUUUAAAUGACACCAAAAAUGAAUGUAACAAAAGAAUAAGACGAGUCUUGCAUUCCGCUCCAUCUUCUCAAAAGCUAAACGAGUGUACCUGUCUUACUGGUUUCCUAAGAACAUAAGUUAUUUUGAAAGAGAGCGUCAACAUAUAAAUGUUGGUAAGAUCAUAAGUAUUUAAUGCCAUUAUAUGGCAUUUAUUUUACAUAAAUGAUUGUAUUUGUAUCAUGAAAAUUUUUGUUUACUUACCUAGAAAAUCCUAUAUUUUCUGCUUAUAAUGAAAUGUAGUCCUCUACCAAGACCCAACUGUUUGUACAUUUGUUUUCUUAAAAUAAUGAAAAUGAACUGUUUAUAUUAGUUAAAAUAUUCUACUGAUUGUUUUACUGAAUUAUAACCGAGUUGGUUAAUUUAGGAUUAAAAUGUGAUUGAAGUUAUAACCAUACUUGAUCGACCUAGUAUAAACACACAACGCUCUUCAGACGCCGAACAAGUAUGACAUUUGUUCACCCGUGGACNNNNNNNNNNNNNNNNNNNNNNNNNNNNNNNNNNNNNNNNNNNNNNNNNNNNNNNNNNNNNNNNNNNNNNNNNNNNNNNNNNNNNNNNNNNNNNNNNNNNNNNNNNNNNNNNNNNNNNNNNNNNNNNNNNNNNNNNNNNNNNNNNNNNNNNNNNNNNNNNNNNNNNNNNNNNNNNNNNNNNNNNNNNNNNNNNNNNNNNNNNNNNNNNNNNNNNNNNNNNNNNNNNNNNNNNNNNNNNNNNNNNNNNNNNNNNNNNNNNNNNNNNNNNNNNNNNNNNNNNNNNNNNNNNNNNNNNNNNNNNNNNNNNNNNNNNNNNNNNNNNNNNNNNNNNNNNNNNNNNNGACAAAUGUAAACUUUCAAUUAUAUAUAUGAUGGUUGUAUUGCUUUCUUUACUAUGUAUUCAUUUGUUACGUUACCACAUGAAGUCAUCCGCCCCCGAAUGUUUCCGCCGUUCCGGUUUGGGGGUGUGACAACUGACUUGCUGGAAAGACUCAUGCACUACUAGAAAACAACCUUUUAAUGACACAAAUAAUGGUAGAAGUUAUAAUAUAACUAAUAAUCACAAUUAUAAUAAUUAUAAAAGUUAUGAAAAAAUAAAGCCCAAAAAUCGUUGUUUAGCCCUUGAAACAGGGAAAAAACACUAUAUAUAUAUUACAUGAUUGUAUAUAUAAUCACGUCAACUAUUAUUGAGGUUUACCUAAAAUAAUAUCUAAGUCAUAUAAGGAAAGCAUAAUGUUAAAAUAUCUACAUCAUAGGAGGAAAGCAUAAUGUUGUUAAGAAGUCUAUACCGAGUAACAUUAUUCUCUUUCUACAAAUUUUAAAUGAAAUCAUUAUAAGAAAAUUAUGUUUGAAAUUUAAACACUAUAUCAUUUGUGUAAUAGUUUCGUAUGAACACAAAAGAAAUUGACAGGACAACUUUAUUAUAUAUUUAUGUAAUAUCGUGUUCGUUAAUACAAUUAUUUGAUGUUACAAGUGUUUCAAGUUUCAAGCCCAAGUCUGAUCCAAAGCCCAACUUCUAGAAGGAAAUGAAUUGUUUACAUUAGAUACGUAAAAACCCUCUGGUCUUACUAACCAAUAACAAUAUUGUGUACCAAAUCCUUGUUUAACACAUACAUUAGAAGGAUGACGGCUAUCGAACACAUGAAAAUCCUGAUAUUUUGAACCCCACCAGAACUGACUCCAAUAGUAUGUAGUUGUUGUUUCAUGAAUUUGCCAUUGGUAAAUUCCAUUAUAAGAAAGGGUGUGAUUUCCGUGAUCAUCUUCUUUUGAUCUCACAUGAAAGGUGAUAUCUUCAUUGAUGCCAUUGAUUAUGAACAUGUUCCAUUCACCGAGUACAUCAAGAGGUUUAUUUAUAGAAGACGCGAUGGUAUAAGUAACUGGAAAUAAUGAGAUGUAGAAGAAAUAGACGAAAACAAAAAGGCGAUACAUUAUACUACUUAUAUAAUUUAUUUUGAAGCAGUUAUAAAAUUUAUCUUUACAGUAGUCACUUUGAUCAAUUUAUAAGGAGUGGGUGGCAGCUCCAUAGCAUAUUUUGCAUUAAUUAUGUAAUAAGUGUAAUUAAUUUAUAGUUAUUGUAAAAUUUAGUUUGCCGUUUCAAAAGAAUAUUUAUAUAUAACUGAUACCUCUACUUUAAUUGGCAUUUGGUGAAGAUACCAAGGAUGAUAGCCACAUCUUACAUAGCGUAUUUUGCAUUAAUUAUGUAAUAUUUUCAGAUAACUGAUACCUCUAGUUCAAUUUCCAUUUGGUGACGGUAAUGAUGAAUCAUAGCUACAUCCCACAUUGAUUUGAUUUAAUGCACUCAAACAUUUUAUGAUGUUUAAGUAUGUGCGCUUUAACUAUGUUUCCUUGUGAAUACGAACCGUAUUGACUCCAGUGUUCGCAUCCAGCACCAUUGUACGGAAGGGGUUGGCCCUGUUCAUGGCUCCACCUACCCAAAGUCUCUGCCCACAAAGGCGUUAGGCCUUGACAUUCAGGCCGAGGGUUAGGAUUUGGCAUUAGAGCCACUAGAGGUUGAUCAUUGACUUCAGGAUCUGAGUCGGAAUCUUCGUAUAUUUCUUC